rnacentral:rRNA from 1 species
GACGAACGCUGGCGGCGUGCUUAACACAUGCAAGUCGAACGCUGAAGCUCAGCUUUUGUUGGGUGGAUGAGUGGCGAACGGGUGAGUAACACGUGAGUAACCUGCCCCCUUCUUUGGGAUAACGCCCGGAAACGGGUGCUAAUACUGGAUAUUCACUGGUCUUCGCAUGGGGGUGGGGGGAAAGGGGUUUUCUGGUGGGGGAUGGGCGCGCGGCCUAUCAGCUUGUUGGUGGGGUGAUGGCCGACCAAGGCUUUGACGGGUAGCCGGCCUGAGAGGGUGACCGGUCACAUUGGGACUGAGAUACGGCCCAGACUCCUACGCGGGGCAGCAGUGGGGAAUAUUGCCCAAUGGGCGCCAGCCUGAUGCCGCGUCGCCGCGUGAGGGCUGGGGGCCUUCGGGUUGUGAACCUCUUUCGCUCAUGGUCAAGCCGCAACCAUGGUUGUGGUGAGGGUAGUGGGUAAAGAAGCGCCGGCUAACUACGUG